rnacentral:rRNA from 1 species
AUGUAGGUAUAAGUAACGAUAAAGAGUGUGAGAUGCACUCUCGCCGAAAGACUAAGGUUUCCCGGGCAACGUUAAUCGGCCCGGGGUUAGUCGGGACCUAAGGAUAAGCCGAAGGGCGAAGCCGAUGGCAGAAAUGGUUAAUAUUCCAUUACUACCUAUUAUGGCGAUUGCGGGGACGGAGAAGUGAAACUUCCGCGCGCAGACGGAAUAGCGCGUUAAAGGUUGUAGACGUAGAUCUGGGCAGGCAAAUCCACCCAGAGAGUCGAAGCUGAUAGUACACGAAGCCUUCGGGCAGAGUGAUAGUGAAGGUAAUCAGACUCCCGAGAAAAUCCGCUAAGCAUAACAUCAGAGGUACCCGUACCGCAAACGGACACACGUAGUCGGGUUGAAAAUAC